GCCAGUUGAAUGACAAUGUUGUGACAAUUACAACCGUGCAUGUGCGAACUGGGCAGUGCACAUACCGGUUGAAUGACAAUGUUGUGACAAUUACAAUCAUGCAUGUGUGGAGUGGGCAGUGCACAUGCCGACUAUGAUGCGCGUGUGGGGAGUGCACGUUGGCUGACUGAGGUGGUGGUAGUCAUGUUUAUAUAUAUAUA
rnacentral:lncRNA from 1 species